GGGGCGCUCGGGCGCUGGCGGAGGCGGCUGCAGCUCCCCGGGCGCCGGCGGCGGCUCCCCCGGGUCAUGUAGGUAGGGCUCCUCUGGUUGGGGAGGGCCCUCUGCCUCCCAGCCGAGCCGAGCUGAGCUGAGCUGAGCGGCGACGGCGGCUGCAGGCAGAUCAGAGUUUCAUCUUCCAGAAAUCGGAGUCACUGGAUCCAGCUGGGCCUCUGCUAGGCCCCGGUGUCUCUUCCAUCCCUGUGCUCCUCGCUCAGCAUGGCUUCACGGUGCUACUGCCCACCUGCCUGGGGACACAGGGCUCCCAGCCCUGGCUCUGUGCGGUUAGGCCAAACGCUCAGGCUCUGUGGCUCACAUGUGUUCUGGGCGCCAGGCCCUUCUCAGAGCAAGAGCCACUGAGGCCAUGGGAGAGUUUCCUGCUUACCUCUCCCGGCACUGCCUGCUCUGAGACCCGUGUUUGGGGUCACCCCUGGGAGGUGCCAGCCCUGUUUACCCACCCCACCUGUCCCCCACCAUGUGUGAGGUGAUGCCCACAAUCAAUGAGGGGGACCCCAUGGGGCCCCCACAUGGUGCCGAGGCUGAUGCCAACUUUGAGCAGCUGAUGGUGAAUAUGCUGGACGAGCGGGAGAAGCUGCUGGAAUCCCUGCGUGAGAGCCAGGAGACCCUGGUGGCCACCCAGAGCCGGCUGCAGGAGGCCCUGCACGAGCGUGACCAGCUCCAACGCCACCUCAACUCAGCCCUGCCCCAGGAAUUCACCACCUUAACCCGGGAGCUGAGCAUGUGUCGGGAGCAGCUUCUAGAGCGGGAGGAAGAGAUAUCGGAGCUGAAGGCGGAGCGGAAUAACACCAGGUUACUUCUGGAACAUUUGGAAUGCCUGGUAUCCCGCCACGAGCGGUCACUGCGGAUGACUGUGGUGAAGCGUCAGGCCCAGUCCCCUUCUGGGGUCUCCAGUGAGGUGGAGGUGCUGAAGGCCCUCAAGUCAUUGUUCGAGCACCACAAGGCCCUGGAUGAGAAGGUGCGAGAGAGGCUCAGGGCAGCCCUGGAGCGAGUUGGCACCUUGGAAGAAGAGCUGGCAGGGGCACACCGGCAGGUGUCUGCGCUGCAGCAGGGGACAGGCCUUCGGGAUGGAGUGUCAGAAGAGGAGGGGACCAUGGAGCUGGGCCCAAAACGCCUGUGGAAGGAGGACGCAGGCCGCGUAGAGGAGCUGCAGGAGCUGCUGGAGAAGCAGAACUUUGAGUUGAGCCAGACACGGGAUCGGCUGGUCACUCUGACAGCGGCUGUGGCGGAGCUUGAGGAGGACCUGGGCACAGCUCGCCGGGACCUCAUCAAGUCGGAGGAACUGAGCAGCAAACAUCAGCGGGACCUUCGUGAGGCUCUGGCCCAGAAGGAGGACAUGGAGGAGAGAAUCACCACACUGGAGAAGCGUUACCUGGCUGCUCAGCGGGAGGCCACGUCCAUCCAUGACCUCAACGACAAGCUGGAGAAUGAGCUGGCCAAUAAAGAGUCCCUGCACCGCCAGUGUGAGGAGAAGGCUCGGCACCUCCAGGAGCUGCUGGAGGUGGCAGAGCAGAAGCUGCAGCAGACGAUGCGCAAGGCGGAGACGCUGCCUGAGGUGGAGGCCGAGUUGGCACAGAGAAUUGCAGCCCUUACCAAGGCUGAGGAGCGGCACGGCAACAUCGAGGAGCACCUGAGGCAGUUGGAGGGGCAGCUGGAAGAAAAGAACCAGGAGCUGGCCAGGGUGCGCCAGCGGGAGAAGAUGAACGAGGACCACAAUAAGCGGCUGUCAGACACUGUGGACCGGCUGCUGAGCGAGUCCAAUGAGCGCCUGCAGCUCCACCUUAAGGAACGCAUGGCGGCCUUGGAGGAGAAGAACACCUUGAUCCAGGAGCUGGAGAGCUCCCAGCGGCAGAUCGAGGAGCAGCACCAUCACAAGGGCCGCCUGUCUGAAGAGAUUGAAAAACUGCGCCAAGAGGUGGACCAGCUGAAGGGUCGAGGGGGGCCGUUUGUGGAUGGCCCUCACUCCAGGUCCCAUCUGGGCAGUGCAGCAGAAGUGCGCUUCUCCCUGGGCACCACCUCCCAUGGGCCCCCCAGUCUGCACCGGCGCUACUCGGCGCUUCGGGAAGGGUCUGCCAAGGAUUGGGAGUCCUCUUCACUGCCUGGGGUGCUGGCCUCGACUGCCACCCCUGCCUUUGACAGUGACCCAGAGAUCUCCGAUGUGGAUGAGGAUGAGCCAGGGGGUCUUGUGGGCUCUGUGGAUGCAGUCUCUCCUGGCGGCCACUCGGAUGCCCAGACCCUGGCCAUGAUGCUGCAGGAGCAGCUUGAUGCCAUCAAUGAGGAGAUAAGAAUGAUCCAGGAGGAGAAGGAGUCUACGGAGCUCCGUGCGGAGGAGAUUGAGACGCGGGUGACAAGCGGCAGCAUGGAGGCCCUCAACCUGACGCAGCUGCGCAAGCGUGCCUCCAUCCCCACCUCCCUGACUGCCCUGUCCCUGGCCAGCACGUCCCCAGCCCUCAGCGGUCGCUCCACCCCGAAGCUCACCUCUCGAAGUGCUGCCCAGGACCUGGACCGCAUGGGGGUCAUGACUCUGCCCAGUGACUUACGGAAGCACAGGAGGAAGCUGCUGUCACCAGUGUCUCGGGAAGAGAACCGAGAGGAUAAAGCCACCAUAAAAUGUGAGACUUCCCCUCCUUCCUCACCCAGGACGCUGCGGCUAGAGAAGCUUGGCCACCCAGCCCUGAGCCAGGAAGAAGGCAAGAGCAUGCUGGAGGAUCAAGGGAGCAACCCCAGCAGCAGCAGCAGCAGCCAGGACUCCCUGCACAAGGGUGCCAGGCGCAAGGGCAUCAAGUCAUCCAUCGGUCGCCUAUUUGGGAAGAAGGACAAGGGCCGACUCAUCCAGUUGAGCCGCGAUGGAUCCACGGGCCAAGUUCUGCUUACAGACUCCGAGCUCAGCCUGCAGGAGCCCCUCGUGCCUGCCAAGCUGGGGACCCAAGCAGAGAAGGACCGGAGGCUGAAGAAGAAGCACCAGCUGCUUGAAGAUGCCCGCAGGAAAGGGACGCCCUUUGCCCAGUGGGAUGGCCCCACGGUGGUCUCUUGGCUUGAGCUCUGGGUGGGCAUGCCUGCCUGGUAUGUGGCGGCCUGCCGGGCCAAUGUCAAGAGCGGUGCCAUCAUGUCGGCACUGUCGGACACAGAGAUCCAGCGUGAGAUCGGCAUCAGCAAUGCCCUACACAGGCUCAAGCUGAGACUGGCCAUCCAGGAGAUGGUGUCUCUGACCAGCCCAUCUGCACCACCCACCUCUAGGACCUCUUCUGGAAACGUCUGGGUCACCCAUGAAGAGAUGGAAACUCUGGCAACGUCUGCUAAAACAGACAGUGAGGAGGGCAGCUGGGCUCAGACCCUGGCCUACGGGGACAUGAACCACGAGUGGAUUGGCAACGAGUGGCUGCCCAGCCUGGGGCUCCCCCAGUACCGCAGCUACUUCAUGGAGUGCCUGGUAGACGCACGCAUGCUGGAUCACCUCACCAAGAAGGACCUCCGAGUCCACCUGAAGAUGGUGGACAGCUUCCACCGAGCCAGUCUUCAGUACGGCAUAAUGUGUCUGAAGAGGCUGAAUUACGACCGGAAAGAGCUGGAGAAGAGGCGGGAGGAAAGCCAGCAUGAGAUCAAGGAUGUGCUGGUCUGGACCAAUGAUCAGGUGGUCCACUGGGUACAGUCCAUCGGGCUCCGGGAUUAUGCGGGGAACCUGCACGAGAGUGGAGUGCAUGGAGCCCUGCUGGCCCUGGACGAGAACUUUGACCACAACACGCUGGCUCUGGUCCUUCAGAUCCCCACACAGAACACUCAGGCACGCCAGGUGAUGGAGAGAGAAUUCAACAACCUGCUGGCCUUGGGCACUGACCGGAAGUUGGAUGAUGGGGAGGACAAGGUGUUCCGCAGAGCGCCCUCCUGGAGGAAACGCUUCAGGCCGCGGGAGCAGCACGGCGGCCUGCUCAGCGCCUCGGCCGAGACCCUGCCCGCCGGCUUCCGCGUGGCCCCGCUCGGGUCUCUGCCGCCCGCGCCCAAGAAGCUGCUGCCGGAAGCCGGGACGGCGGGGCCGCAGAGACUGGAGCCCUCCACGGUCCGGACCUACUCCUGCUGACCCCGCCUCCCACCCGCACCCCGGGGCUCACGGGGUGUGCCCGUGGCUGGGCUCACUCCCACUAUCUCUACGGACACAUGCUCUCUGCCUUCCGCGACUAGCCACAGCCCCCCGGCCCAGCGGCCUCCUCCUGGCGCUGCUGGCCGCACCCUCCCGCUCGGUCCCUUUCUCCUGCCGCCCCCAGUCUCCGUGGUGACUGUCCAGUAGUCCCGGAUCUCCGCAUAUACUCGCCCCCCUUGGCUUCCCACUACCCUGAGCCCCACCAUGUGUGCUUUGUAAGUUUCCCGUGGACUUGGUGGGGGCUCCUGGCCCGAGGCCCCCAGUUAUCCAAUUUGGGAUUCAGGGGCCAGGAGAGGAGGGAACCCCAGGGCAGGUGUGACCCUCCCUCCCUCCCUCUCUGGAUCCUGCCUGGUCUGGACUGUGACUUUCACCAGAGACCAGGACAUCAUGCCAAGGGCUGGGACCGCCCUUCCCCAAAAGGGCAACUUCCAACUCUACCUUGCCAGGGUGUGUGGCCUGCUGGGCCCUCCCUGGCCACAUCCCGGCUCUUCCAGAAGGCGUGGUGCCUGGUUUGGUCACCUCUGACUUAGCCUCUCUCCACUCAUCUCUGCAGGACUGGGGAGGGGGGCCAGAGGAGGCCGGGUCUCCCUCCAGGUGGUGAGGCUGGGCAGGAGGGUGGCUGAGGUGCCAGGGCCAGAUACUGGCUUAAACUGAAUUCCACACAUGCCCUGAGAGAAAUGACCCCAGGGCUGUCGGCCUAAGGUAAGAAAGGACGGGAACCCUCAGGCCCAGAGACAGGUGUAGGAUGUCAGUAUACCGGAGGUGAGCAGAUGGCCUGUGGGAGGCCCUGGACAUGUCUCCUCAGUAGGGA